rnacentral:rRNA from 1 species
CGGAUAGAGCUAGCGAACUCGUUCGUAUUCAGCCAACGGUUCUGGGUUCGGUUUUGUUGUGUUUCAGUUUUGUGCACGCAGGAUCGAGCGCCUAGGUUCCAAGGUGCAUUUGCGGACGAUUGCGCCGAGACUUGUCGGGCAGCGGUAGGACCCGGUUCAUGAGGCCUCCUUUUGGUUGUACCCUGAACUGGUUUACGACUGUUUGCUCUGCUCGUAAUGUUGGUUCGGCCUCGGGUGAAACUGCCGUUGGCGUUCUCUUGUGGUGGCAACAGCACGCUUUGCCUAACUUGGGGAUUCCGGCUGCGGUGUAGCUCUCGAACUGUCUCUCGGUGUAAAAGCUGGUCAUCUAUCCGACCCGUCUUGAAACACGGACCAAGGAGUUUAGCGUAUGUGCGAGCCACUGGGUAUUGCAAAACCUAUGGGCACAAUGAAAGUGAAGGCUCGGUCGCCGAGCUUACAUGCGACUGUGCCAGCUUCGGCUGGUGCGGGCAGCAUGGUCCCGUUUCAGUCGCUUGCGACGGAGCGGAGACAGAGUGCAUGCGCUGAG